rnacentral:lncRNA from 1 species
UCCUCACCUUUAAGCUCGAGGCCCGCUGCCGCCAAAAUCAUGUUGCGAGAGGAUCUGGGCAUUUAUAGCUUCGAAUUUUGAGAUGCUUGAAGGAAGUGCUUUUGAUGAGGCCGUGAGGACGUGCACGUGUCCAGCAGUUUGUUCCUGGUCACGCAGCUGGUGCAUGACAGAGCGAGGCAUCCCACAGGUGGCCUAUCUACCUGACUGCUGUGAGUUACUUCCUCCCAGGAGAGGUGGUUCCAUCAGGAGAUGCUUUAAUUCAGUUCUCGCCUUCCCUCUGCUGCCACCCCAACAGCCAAAACAGGAUUUAGACUCUUUCUUGGAUGUGCUCUGGUAGGUUAACGAUGGCCCUAAAUUCCUCGCAGCUCCUCCUGUUGAGAUGCAGGACUGAAUUUCCCUCCCCUUGACCUUGAGCCGGCUUUAGCUGGUAGAGUGAAGUGGAAAUGACACUGGGCGACAUGCAAGGUGAACUACACGAAGACGUGUGGCAUCUGCCUUGUCUUCUUGGAACACAGACCCUUAGAAACUGGCUGCCAUGCGAGGAAGAAGCCCAAGACCCUCCACGGGAGACCCACGUGGCAAGGAAAUAAGGAUGCUUGUUACAGUCGGCACCAGCUCACAACCACGUGAGUCAUCUUGCAAGUGGAUCCUCCAGCCUCCGUGGAGUGACCCCAGUUAAUGCCACAUGGAGCACAGAUGAGACGUCCCCACUCAACACUGCCCAAAUUGCAGAAUUCAUGAGCGAAAUAAAGAACUAUUUUUGUUUUAAGCCACUAAAUUCUGGCAUGGUAUGUUGUGCAGCAGUAGGGAACUGGAGCCCCUGCCAACUUUGCUUAACAGAUAUAAAUUAGAACGAAAUGUAAGCUAAAAAAGUAUCAUUUUCUUUAAUAUUAUUAGUGCUAUUACAGAAAGUCUCCUCUAGAAAAAAAUUAACUCUUAUUUAAACUUAACUCUUCAUUUAAACCAUCCCUGUAAAGCAACCCAGAAAUUAUUUUUGCAGAGUUCCCUUUGUUUGUUUGUUUGUUUGUUUUACAUUUUUCUCCUCUAUCCUCAUUAAAGCAAAUGCUGGAGACUACCUGCAUUAGUACAGAUUUACUGACGAAACUGAAUCUUCUAAGAAAAAACACGUUUUCUAGUGGAAUGUCUAAGUGCCAUGAGAAUAAUUAGGGAAACUAAGUCGAUGUAAAUUCAGAUUCUAGAUGUGCGUUGUUGGAAAUGAGAUGUAGGAACGACACAGUCUGAAGUUACUUACAUGCGAGCUCAAAGGGCAGAAGAAUAAAAUCUAACAUUUUUGUUCGGGGCUCUCCACUCCCUCCAGACAUUUGCUUGACAAAUAUUUUCCCAACCAGACAGCACAAUUACAUAGGGUGUGUUCCACCAGACCUGACCGCCCAGUUGGAGAGUGAUUGAUUACCAGGGUGGUGUGUUUACUUUAAAGGGAAAUCGCAGGAUUAUCGCUGCCAUUUCUCCUGAACCCUUUCCAAUUUGAACUUCCUGUGCUUAGGAUACGAGAUAAGCCAGGAGGGGCAGAAAUGCCCUUCAAGGCAAGGCUGGUGGUAAAAUGCCCAUGAAACGCCUAUAGGCUAUGGCUGGUGCUGAAAUACCUAUGAGAGAGUUGGUGAGUCUUUGAACACUUAAAAUGGUCACAGUAUCUCUAUAGUUGAAUGAAAAAAAGCAGGUGGGCAGACAAACAGAAGGUAUUGUGUCAAGCGGUUUGUUUGAUAUAUAGAUGGAUGAAUAAAAGAGAGUUGGAAGAGAGGUGUUUUGAAAAAGGCUGAUAGGAUGUAUUUUUUUUUUUUUUCUUUUUAGGACUGCACCUGCAGCAUAUGGAGGUUCCCAGGCUAGGGGUCAAAUUGGAGCUACAGCUGCCGGCCUCCGCCACAGCCACAGCAACAUCAGAUCCAAGCUGCGUCUGCAACUUAUACUACAGCUCACGGCAGCACCAGACCCUUAACCCACUGGGCGAGGCCAGGGAUCGAACCUUCAACCUCAUGGUUCCUAGUUGGAUUGUUUCCAGUGUGCCACAACCGGGACUCCCGGCCCUGUUAGACCAGGGAUGUGACUCAACUCUGCAACUCUGGUGAGGAAGCAGCCAUAGUUGACACACAGACAAACGGAUGUAGCUGUGUGUCAAUGGAACUUUAUUUAUGGAGAUUGAAAGUGGAAUUUCAUGUAAUUUUCACGUGCUACAAAAUAUUCUUCUUUUGAUUUUUUUUUUUUCAGUGAACAUUUAGAAAUAAAAAAAGCAUUCUUAGCUCACAGGCAGUACAAAAACAAGCGGCAGUCUGGAUUUGGCCAGACGUUGGUCACGGGCCAUGGUUUGCUGACCCUUAUGACUUAAGUCCAGGAGGAGUAGGGUGAUUGAGGGUCAAGGAAAUGCCUGGCUUUCUACUUUCUAAACUUUUAUAGUUUUGGAACUUUUUAGAGCAAGUACAUAUAUACUUUUUAUAAUAAGUUAAAGAUGUUUGCAUUCAGGUCAAAGGAAAAAAAGUCCUUGUACAAGGGACCUGUGAGUGGGAAAAGCACGAGUGGUCGCACUUGGGGCUCACGUUUAAAUAAUUCAAGAUGCCAUUCAUUCAGACUCCCCCAUUCAGAACUUUGGUUAGAGGUCCUGUUUGCUCGCUCUAAAAAGAGGUUGAUUUGUCAUCCUAAAUUGGACAUAGUUUAAGACAAGUGCUCGUCCUAAUUAUAAUUUAUUUUCAUCUGCUUAUUAAAGCAGGUCCGUUCGCAUGUGUGCCUGAGAAGACUGCAAGCCUAGAUUAAGCUGCUUGAAAGCAAUACAAUAUUUAUUUUUAAAUGCUGUGUUACUCAGACUUUCUUCUCUCAUUUUACCCACAGUUUGUUUGGCUUUUCCGAAGCCUGUGUUAGAUUAAUUUGCACGAAGCUUGGGUAUACGUUCUUCUUUUAGACCUUCUUCAUUCUCGGUAAACUCCCGGAAGGCGUGGUACCGAAUCACAGCCUUUAUUCAUUCAUUCAACAAACACUGACUGAGUGCUUCCUAUGGACCAGGCAUUGUUCUAGGCCCUGGAGAUAUUGGAGUGAACAAAGUUCCUGCUCUGUGUUCUUUUUGAGUCUGAUGUUUGUGGGUGGUUUGUUUAUGGGUUGAUAGGGAAAGCCCAUUCAUUCUUCUUCCUCCAGGCCUCCUAAGAUUAGAUAUGUCCCAUAGGAUUUUCCUUUCCUUUCCUUUUCUCUUUCCAUGGCUGCACCUGAUGCAUAUGGCAGUUUCCAGGCCGGGGAUGGAAUCCACCCUGCAGCUGUGACCUACCCUGGAUCCUUUGACUCCCUGUGCUGGGCUCAGGAUUGAACCCACACCUCCACAGUGGACCGAGCUGCUGCAGUCAGGUUCCUAACCCACUGCACCACAGCAGCUAUUUCCAGUGGUAUUCCUUCUUUUCAUUUACUCUGAAGACUUUGCCUUGGGCCUUUGUCGAGCCUACGGUGUCAGCUAGAGUCCAAAGAGGAAGCAGAUGACACGCACAAGUCAGAUAAUUUGAAGAGCAUGAAUAAACUCUUCCCAAAGGUGGAGAGAAAAUGUAGGCGAUGCACAGGCCGUGUGGAGGGGGCUGCCUGGCCAGAGCUGCGCCUUUGGGUUAAGGGAUGUAGCCUGCCAACAGUGAGCCAGAGCAAGAAAAUGGGGGAACGAAUCCCCCAGCCUCACUCUUCUUUCCCCGCUCCUGCCCGUGCUGCCCGGGCUGAGCCCACCUGGAAGCCCUUGCUGCAGCCCAGCCCGUGGAGCUCGGGCCCCCCGGGGUGGAGGAGGAGGCGAUCCCGAGGGGCAGCGGGAAGGUCCCUCCCACUCCUUCCGUUCCUGGGCGUCAGGGGGAAAUGGCGAGGCGGAUGCAGACUCAGUUUCUCCUACUUGUUGGCCUUUGCGCGGAUCCCAACAUUCUUGGCUCCAGCUGUUUAGCAGAUGGCUCGAUCCACCAGGUAGACAGUUGCAAAUUACUUUUCCUAAGUGCACAUGUGGAAGAGUUUCUGACAGUUUAGUUGGAGGACACAGACUUGGCACUGGUACAUCUGCUGAGCCUUUGAAGCUGAUGCACCAUCUCAGCCAAAACUCUUACAAGGCUCAGUUCAGCCCUCUAUAAACUAAACACGGUAAUAUACGCAUCCCAGAGACAUGUGAGGGUUCCACCCAGUCCAAGUCUAGAUAUUUUCUGACAUUUCUCAUGCAUAGAAGUUUUAUUAUUGAUGAGCAUCUUAUGUAUUAGUAAUUAGACAUAAACCUCUCAAGUUUGAUUAGGGAUUCAAGUGCCCUUGGAGGUUCCCCUGCGGUGUAGUGGGUCAAGGAUCACGUGUUGCCACAGCUGUGGCAUAGGUUGCAACUGCAGCAUGGAUUCGACCCCUGGCCCAGAAACGUCCACAUGCUGCAGGUGCAGCCCCCUGCCCAAAAAAAAAAAAAAAAAAAAAAAAAAAAAAAAA